rnacentral:piRNA from 1 species
UGGAAGCCGCAAUUCAUUGAGCACCCAGAGU